rnacentral:lncRNA from 10 species
ACUGAUUUCAGCAACUUUCUCCAGCAGGUCAGGUGCCCAGCAGUGGCAGUGCACAGGUCAGCUCUGGAGGGGGAGGUCCAUGCUGCCGUCCAUGCCCAGCCUCCACCCUUCCCCCACUCCACACUUGGAGCCCAUCAAACAUGCACGGGAGAGCUGGGAAAAGAGGCUGAUGAUGCCUGCAGAGGGGGCAGCUGUGGAGAUCUGAGCACCGAGAGCCCCUCUGAAGCGAACAGACCUCAGAGACACCCGCCCGGCACAGCUAUCCCCACAGCUGUCCAUCUGGUACUUGGUCCCAGAACUCCCAGACACCUUGCUCCCAAUCCAUUCAUUUCCAAGUCCUUAACCAUCCUAACCAUCCAGCCAGACAUUCACAACUGCUCAGGAGUCAGUGUGGAUGCAUGUAUGCAAUACUAUCCAGGGAUUAGGAAGAAGUGAAGGGCUGGAACAUGGCGGUAAACCUGAGAACAGUGUACACAAAGUACACGGAUUAUAUGACUCCCUUUCUGUGAACUGUCUGGAGCAGGCACAUUCGGAGAGACAGCCAGUGGAUUUGCGGUU